UAGACAACUGAUAAAUUAUAGUGUUCUAAAAAUUCUUAUGAAUUAUUUCUGCCCUUGGAUUAAAAUUUUGGACGAUAUAGACAUCUUAAAUGAGUUGUGUUAUUUUUUUAUGAAUUUAUAAAGCCUCUAGGGUUUUUUUUUUUUUUUUUUUAAUCUAGUUUUCAUUGGUUACUGUUUUUGGCCAAAUUCUGGAUCUUUUGGAAAUUU
rnacentral:lncRNA from 1 species